CGGGAUGCAAAUUGGUGUGUGGGUCACUUUUUGCUGAGUUCAAAACGCUGUCAUUUUAGCAUCUCUUUACUUUCCUUGCCUCCGUCUUGCUUUUCAACUUCUUCUCUCUACACUCUCUGUCUUGCUUUUCAACUUCUCCUCUUUUCAACUUCAUCAAAACCCUUCUCUCUUCAACCUUUUUCGUCGUCCUUAUCCAAAACCCAACAAAACCCAAACUCUGAUUGAAAAUCGUCGCCUACUCCAUCCUUUAUCGUUGUCCAUCGACUGCAAACCACAGAAGAAAACCCCGAACAAAGCACCAAAGUUAGAAAACCCACAGCUUAAAAACGAUACAGACCAUCACCUACUUCGUUGUUGAUCGCUAGCAUUCGAUCUUUGCCAGUGACCACCUUCGGUCUUCUUCAAGCUUCCCUUUUCAACCUAGGUUGUGAUUCCUGAGUAGUUUAUGGGUUUUCUGGGAAUUGACUGGGCAUGAGCUCGGGUUUUGUUUUUGGGAAUUGGGUUUUUCUGACUUGGUUCGAGUGUGGGUUUGGAUGAUUUUGGGUUUGUUUGCUAGUGUUGUGUUUGAUCUUUUCUGGGUUUCUUUGCUUGGCUUCGGUCUGCUCUUUGGUUGUUUAUGCUGGCUUGAUUUGCUUCCUAAUUGUUGUCUACUGCCUUGGGAUUUUUCUGCUGAUGGUUUUUUUGAUCCCUUGUUAAAUUUUCUUGAACUCUCUGUUUGUAGCACUUGGUGGAUUGGGUGGCUGACCUACUAUGGCUAAAUUGCUAUUGAAUCAUUAUGUUGCCUUGAUGAAUUUCUUUUACUGGUUUUGGGUUUAUUGGGUAGGGGCUUGUAAGUUGGUUGUUUUGAUUGAGACCUUCGGCUGCACUAUGCGAUAUCUUGACUGAGCUAUUGCUAGAAUUUCUGAUUUUUUAAAAUAAUUUUUGCAGCAAAUUGAUCUCUAUCGAAUUGCUUGUUAAUUGCUUGAUGCUUCCUCCUUCUCCCCUUGAUCACAUAUUUGAAUCCUUUAUAUAGGGAUUCAUGCUUUUUCUAUUUUGAAAAAAAAAAAAAAUCAAUUCCACCAGACCCGUGAUUUGAUUUGAUUUUUGUGAAUUAACUUUUUUGUGAUUUUAUUACUUCUACAAUCUUCCCUUUUUCAAUGAAUCAAGAAAUAAAUUCUAAAGAUUGAAUCCAAGAUUUUCCUACAAAAUUCCCCCAU
rnacentral:lncRNA from 1 species